rnacentral:rRNA from 1 species
AAAAACUCCGGUGGUAUGAGAUGGACCCGCGUCUGAUUAGCUAGUUGGUGAGGUAACGGCCCACCAAGGCGACGAUCAGUAGCCGGCCUGAGAGGGCGACCGGCCACAUUGGGACUGAGACACGGCCCAAACUCCUACGGGAGGCAGCAGUGGGGAAUAUUGCACAAUGGGGGAAACCCUGAUGCAGCGACGCCGCGUGAGUGAAGAAGUAUUUCGGUAUGUAAAGCUCUAUCAGCAGGGAAGAAGAAAGACGGUACCUGACUAAGAAGCCCCGGCUAACUACGUGCCAGCAGCCGCGGUAAUACGUAGGGGGCAAGCGUUAUCCGGAUUUACUGGGUGUAAAGGGAGCGUAGACGGCUGUGCAAGUCUGAAGUGAAAGCCCAGGGCUCAACCCUGGGACUGCUUUGGAAACUGUGGAGCUAGAGUGCUGGAGAGGUAAGUGGAAUUCCUAGUGUAGCGGUGAAAUGCGUAGAUAUUAGGAGGAACACCAGUGGCGAAGGCGGCUUACUGGACAGUAACUGACGCUGAGGCUCGAAAGCGUGGGGAGCAAACAGGAUUAGAUACCCUGGUAGUCCACGCGGUAAACGAUGAAUACUAGGUGUUGGAGAGCAAAGCUUUUCG